rnacentral:tRNA from 1 species
GCCUAGUUAGCUUAGUUGGUAAGCGCUAGGCCGCGGGUUCGAUUCCCGCCCGGGGCG